AAAGUGAAGCGCCCUUUCGAAAACACGCAUAUUCACAAUGCAAAGUUUCGUAUGAUGUGGCUUUAGGCGGAAUACAUUCGGCUCAAAGUAAAUAGAGUUACAAAGGUGAAAUUGUAGAAAUAUAGAACUUCAGUUUUUGGAAACGGAUUGCUUACUUUUGCCAACGGAACUCUACACAUUUUUGGUUGUAAUUAUGAAUGGCCACCAUUAAACUUCUUUGUUCAGAA